rnacentral:rRNA from 1 species
UGGGGAAUUUUGGACAAUGGGCGAAAGCCUGAUCCAGCAAUGCCGCGUGUGUGAAGAAGGCCUUCGGGUUGUAAAGCACUUUUGUCCGGAAAGAAAUCCUUGGCUCUAAUACAGUCGGGGGAUGACGGUACCGGAAGAAUAAGCACCGGCUAACUACGUGCCAGCAGCCGCGGUAAUACGUAGGGUGCAAGCGUUAAUCGGAAUUACUGGGCGUAAAGCGUGCGCAGGCGGUUUGCUAAGACCGAUGUGAAAUCCCCGGGCUCAACCUGGGAACUGCAUUGGUGACUGGCAGGCUAGAGUAUGGCAGAGGGGGGUAGAAUUCCACGUGUAGCAGUGAAAUGCGUAGAGAUGUGGAGGAAUACCGAUGGCGAAGGCAGCCCCCCUGGGGCCAAAUACUGACGCUCAUGCACGAAAGCGUGGGGAGCAAACAGGAUUAGAUACCCUGGUAGUCCACGCCCUAAACGAUGUCAACUAGUUGUUGGGGAUUCAUUUCCUUAGUAACGUAGCUAACGCGUGAAGUUGACCGCCUGGGGAGUACGGUCGCAAGAUUAAAACUCAAAGGAAUUGACGGGGUCAUAGCUGUUUCCU